rnacentral:rRNA from 1 species
GAUGAACGCUGGCGGCGUGCUUAACACAUGCAAGUCGAACGGAAAGGCCCAAGCUUUGUUGGGUACUCGAGUGGCGAACGGGUGAGUAACACGUGGGUAUUCUGCCCUUCACUUCGGGAUAAACCUUGGAAACUGGGUCUAAUACCGGAUAGGACCUCUUGAUGGGUGGUGUGGAGUAAAGUUUUUCGGUGUGGGAUGAGCUCGUGGCCUAUCAGCUUGUGGGUUGGGUAAUGGCAUACCAAGGGGUCGACGGAUAGCCGGCCUUAGAGGUGGUACGGCGACAUUGGGACUGAGAGACGGCGCAGACUCCUACGGGAGGCAGCAGUGGGGAAUCUUGCAGAAUGGGGGCGAGCCUGAUGCAGCGGCGCCGCGUGGGGGAUGACGGCCUUCUAGUUAUAAACACCUGUCGAAAGGAACGAAGAGAAAGUGACGGUACCUAGAGAAGAAGCACCGGCUAACUACGUG